AGAUUCUAGGGAGCUCUUGGCUAAGCUCCUCUCCAAGAAUUGGCAGCAGCCCAAGAGAAGUGCCCCCACCAAAGUCGCCCUCUCUUCCUGGUGCCAAGAUGUUUAAGUUGAGGUGGGGGGAGGCAUGGUCUGUGAAGGGAACCUGACCUGCCACAGAUGGUACCAGAAGGGGCCCAAGAAAGCAGACUUCAACCAGCUGGCAGUGAUGACUUCAUAAUGGUGGAAGAUAAAGCAUUAAUAGCCCUUAUCAUGUCCUUGUAGUAAUCAUUAAAACUUUCACCAGUGAUGAAUUGGGAUAGGAUACUGAUGGAAGCAAAUUGUACCAGCAAGUACAGUAUUUCUGACGUUUGAGAGUUUUGUGGCAAAUAGUAAUUAUAAGAACUUUAGAAAUGACCCCUAUUGCUAUGGGCCAUCCAUGCAUUAGAGGAUGUCAAUGAAAGGCUGAGGGCAACUAACUACCAAUAUAAGCAAAGUGUGAAAUCCAGAGGGCCUACUUGGCAACAUUUAAAGAGACUCCUAUCUUCACCAAGACAGACAGCAGAAAAACUUGAGGAUCAGGCCUGGCCUGAUUUAAGUAGAAGAGUAGCAGAGUUCCAUGGAGGCUGGAAUUUCCCCUUGGGAACCAUUCACGUGUCCUUUUUGUUGGUGACAUCAUGUUAAUCAGGUCUAAUAAGCAUGAAGUGGCAGGUAUUUUGGAGGCCUUGGUAAGAUACAUGAGCUGCAGAAGGUGGAAAAGAAUAUUCUAAUGAAGACCCAGGGAACGACCACAUCAAUGAAAUAUUCAUCAGUCUAGUGAUUUGGGACAGGCCAAGACAUCUUCUUCAAGGAUUUUAUUUUUUAAGUAAUCUCUACACCCAGCAUGGGGCUUGAACUCACAACCACCCCAAGAUCAAGAGUCACACACUCCACCGAUUGAACCAGCCAGGCACCCCUAUUAUGUUUGAAACAUACAUUCAAAUGUGUCCCCGGAUUCAUUAAGAAUCAAUACAUCAAGUUAACACCCUUGCUAAUUAAUCCAGCAGACUGUAUUUAUAGAUUAAUGUUUUGUUUCCAUAAAUGAUUCUUGCAAGUGUUCUUCCCCGACAUUCAGCUACAUGCUAGCUGUGUCAGGAUCUCUGAGCUGAAACGGAGUUCGUUCAAGUUUCGAGAAAUUAGGUAUGCAAAUGAGUGCCAUGCUAAUAUAUAGGUUUUAGCAUUGUAUUUUCUUGGAUUCUCUUUUAAAAGGGGGAAACAGAGAUUAUUCUGCGUUCGGUAAUAAAGCAUUGAAAAUGCAUCUG